rnacentral:tRNA from 3 species
GGGGUUAUAGCUCAGCUGGGAGAGCGCUUGCAUGGCAUGCAAGAGGUCCUCGGUUCAAGUCCGAGUAGCUCCACCA